rnacentral:rRNA from 1 species
GUCAACAGCCAUACCACCUGCAAUUCAGAGUUGGUGGUCCAUCUGCAGCAAAGCAGGUUUGGGCUUGGCCAGUACUUGGUACGGAGGCCAACUAUUAAAUCUGGGUUGUUGCUGAAA